CGAAAGCUACGCUAAUACCGCAUACGAUCUAUGGAUGAAAGCGGGGGAUCGCAAGACCUCGCGCGAUUGGAGCGGCCGAUAUCAGAUUAGGUAGUUGGUGAGGUAAAGGCUCACCAAGCCGACGAUCUGUAGCUGGUCUGAGAGGACGACCAGCCACACUGGGACUGAGACACGGCCCAGACUCCUACGGGAGGCAGCAGUGGGGAAUUUUGGACAAUGGGCGCAAGCCUGAUCCAGCAAUGCCGCGUGCAUGAUGAAGGCCUUCGGGUUGUAAACUGCUUUGUACGGAACGAAACGGUGAGCUCUAAUACAGUUUGCUAAUGACGGUACCGUAAGAAUAAGCACCGGCUAACUACGUG
rnacentral:rRNA from 1 species